GGACAACCGUGCGAAGCUCUGACAAAGCCUGAGAACAUUUUGGCCAGCCAUUCAUCAUGGUGUUUUGUACCGCACCCUGGCCAACAACAGCUUCUCAACUAUGUUCUGGACAUCAGCAGACCCAAAGAUGAGCUGAUUGUUGAAACGUCUUCUGGAUGCCUCAUGCGGGCAGAUUUUUGGACACUGGGUUUAAACAAACAAAUGGAAUCGACUAUUGGAAAUGGCUGUUUUGAGCUUAUCACUAAAAUUGUCCAGUCAAAGGGGAUAAGCAUUUACAUAGAAAAUCUGUAUGUCACCCGGACUUGGCUUGCACCCUAUGGCUGUGAUCCAUUGCAGUCCUUUCCUACUGAUGCUCAGAGGAUGCACAUCAUAGUUCUCCCUCUCUGGACCCCUGGUCAUUUCCAGUUGUGUGAAUCUUGCAGUGAAGAUCAUUCCCGGGCAGUGGUCAGAAAAAAAGAGCUGUGACUUGAAGG